rnacentral:tRNA from 1 species
GGGGUUGUGGCUCAGUGGUAGAGCACUGGCCUCUGCACAUGCCAGGCUCUGGGUUCAAUCCUCAGUACCA